AUUGAACGCUGGCGGCAGGCCUAACACAUGCAAGUCGAGCGAGAGGCGGACGGGUGAGUACUGUCUGGGAAACUGCCUGAUGGCGGGGGAUAACUACUGGAAACGGUAGCUAAUACCGCAUACCAUCAGAUGUGCCCAGAUGGGAUUAGCUAGUGGGUGGGGUAAUGGACUACCUAGGCGACGAUCCCUAGCUGGUCUGGGAGGAUGACCAUCCACACUGGGACUGAGACACGGUCCAGACUCCUACGGGAGGCAGCAGUGGGGAAUAUUGCACAAUGGGCGCAAGCCUGAUGGAGCCAUGCCGCGUGUGUGAAGAAGGCCUUCGGGUUGUAAAGCACUUUCAGCGGGGAGGCGUUACCCGCAGAGGAAGCACCGGCUAACUCCGUGCCAGCAGCCGCGGUAAUAC
rnacentral:rRNA from 1 species